UAAGAAUAUGACAUAUAAAAUGUAACAGCAAGACAAGGUUUGAGUGUAUGACUCAACACCAAAACAUGAUAAUUAAAAGUUCUGCUCACGUAAAAGACACUUGAAGGCACCCAAUACGAGUCUGCACCAAAGGCAAACAAACAACACAAACAUAAAAAGGAAAAAACAUGAAUUUUAAAUAUGGUGAUCACUCAGGAAAAGCAAACUAAAGCACACCAAACAGCAAUUCGAUCUCAUUCCUCUUCGGACUCGGACUCAGCACUCUGUAGCCAUUCAACAAAGGGUUUGACGUUCUUCCAAAUUUUGGAGUCCUUGUUCGCACCAACACCCUUGUUGUACCACUGUACUAUAUAUUCCUCUUCCAACAGAUCAUCGUCAUACAAAGCUUUCAAAACCAGAGCCACUUCCUUCAGUGCAACUGAGUUAGAUUUCCCAGAAAACUCUUCUAUAGCUUGAAGCAAUCGUAGUUGAGACUCCUCGUCUUGAGCAAUGGCAGCAAGGUAGCUUUUCUUCUUAAUAACCUCCUUGGCAAAUCCUUUCUCAAUGCCAUCCAAAAGUGCUUCAUAAAAAGCAGUAAUAACUUCCUGCGGAGAUCCAGCGAGUGAACCCAAAAAGGAUUGCAAUUUACAAGCAGUAACUCCCUUUGCUAGAUUUGCUUUUAUUUCUCUAACGAGCCUCUCAUGGUUUGACACUCCAUUUUCGGUCUUGGAAAUCUCUGUUGUCACAGAAGCAGCUUUUGGACUUGGGGCCUUGGACUUCUUCUCUGACUCAACUGUGGACAGCAUAACCAUUUCAGCAGUCGCAGCAUUUAGCUGUUCUUGUAUACGCUGCUUAGCAGCUUCCAGAGAUGUAUCAGUCUGCCACUGGACGUCGUCAUCGUCAUCUUCAUCCUCCUCUUCUUUCACAUUAACAUGGCUUCUAGGUGGUGAAGCACGAUCCUCGUCGGAGCUACCCUGUUUCUUUUUAGAACUAGGUUUUGCGUUAGCAUCUUUGGAGGAAACCUUUUUCUUUGUUUCUUUCUUCAGCUUCUUCAGCUCUUCAUCAGCAGCCUCGCCUUCCUUCAGCCGCUCCUUCUCAGCUCUUCUCAUAGCUUUCUUGUCCUUGGAGCCCUUCUUAGCCUCAGGCGGGUUCUUAAGUAUAAAAGUUGUCAGCUUAUCCCUCAUGUCCAGGUCAGAAAGGAAACCACAUGCAGCACAUUUAAGUUGGAUCAUCUGAGUUUUGGUUAUUAUGACCUCUGUUUCAGGGUUUCCGCAACCAUAGCACUGAACAUAUUUCUUAAUAAAGUUUUCAAGAAGACCAGCUAGCUUGGGAGUUUCAUGAGCUCCAUUGACAAGGGCAGUUCCAGAUUUUUCAUCAAAUUUCGACUGAGCCCCAAGCUCAUUUC
rnacentral:misc_RNA from 1 species